GUGAUUGUGAUUGUGCAGACUGAGAGCUGGGAUCUGACAAGACGUGUUUCCCUGACAGUACCCAUGACAUUCGCUGCCGCUUCUGUGUGCUUCUGGGGGCAGGUUUCUCUGGAUGAAGCUGAUGAAAGUCAGACAGCAGAGAGGUGUCAAGUACAGGUACUCAGGAUUGUUCGUCUGGACAAAAUCCCUCCCAGUCCACCAGGUAUUUGAGGCGGCCACCCCGAUGCUGAGAUUCCAGGACAUGGUAGAUGGAAUCCUCGUCCGCGAUUUUAGGAGGAAAAGGCACGUCGGGCUCAUCAGGUCCUGGGGAAGAAGAAGUGACCAGGUUAGAUGGCAUGAAUUGUGAUGCUUGGGUUCUGGUGCUAGAGUGGAUGAUGUGACUGAGGGCAGUUACAGUGGAUGAACUCCUGAGAAGGCAUGGAGGUGAUGGGAGAUGUGAAUGGCCUUUAAGAUGAAACUCUCAAGCCCCAUGGUGUCAUCAUAGAUUGCCAUCUGCCGUCGAAUGUUUGGAUUCAGCACCUGCUGGAAAGUGCCUCCUCCCUGACGAAGCCUGAACAACGGUCUUGGACAGACAGCUCUGACAUGGCUUGGCCAAAGACUUCCUUGAAAUGAUACGUGGGCAUCAAUGGUUUUUGUAACAUGGCUUGUUGGCAUUCCAAAGGGACUCCGCCUACUGUAGGGCACGUCUUGUAAAUAGGGUGAUCAUGAAGGUGAUCUUGGAUCAUUCUGUGGGAAAUGCUGUAGGCUGCAUGUCAAAAAAUAGUGAGCACUGUAACAGAAAGCCACCACAAUCCAUACAGAAUACAGCAGGCAGGGCCAUGCGACUGGCAGAGGCAGAUGCAGCAGUUGUGACCGGUGCAAGUACAGCACUGACAGCAUGAACAAAGUCCUCGAGUGUUAGCGGGCUUUGGGGCUGCCGGGACCUGAUGAGACUGGUGUUUCCCUGACAACUUUGAUUGUGACUUAUUAUAACUAUAAAUUUGCCGUUUGAACUUCAUAAAAGUUACUUUAUAUCUCACUAACUAAUUUUGUCACCAUUAUUUUAUACCUCACAAUCACAAAUUUAUUUCUCAUAAAAUCAGCUUUACACCUCACAAUUGUAACUAUAUUUCAGUGUGACUUCUCUCUAGCACUGUAAAAUUAUUUCUACUUUUAAACUAUGCCUCACAAUUACCUUUUUAUUUUUCUACUUUGAGGUUUCAUAUAACAAAGUGAAGUAAUAAAUCAAGUAAAUGUGAUUUGGAGGUCAGUAGCCACACCUGCCUCUUCAUGCUGUUGUUGUGCAAACACAUAAUAGCUGGACUGUGUGGAAAGCAGGUUGGAAAAACUCAGUUGAUUUGAGCAGAUCAGGUACCGGUUGUGAUCAUUAAUGAUUUAGCAUACACCAGCGGGAAAAUGAGCAGGGGCCAGUCUCAUCUACCCCUGCAACCCAGAUCUUUGUUUUUGUAAUGCUUUCUUGCAGAUUGCCUUUUACAUUGAAAAUAAUUAAAAGGAGUCUAUAUUUUGCAAACUAAAGAUUCAUUUAUCUCUUUGAAAUAUUUACUGUGGGACAAAUUAACUUUACAGUGAUAUGUGUAGCAGCUGCAUAUUUUCACAGUUGUAUAAAGGUAGAGUCAGAAAUAAUGAUUGCUCUUUAUAACCGUUGAACUUAGUAACAUGGACACUUCAAUUCAAUGGAAUGUAUUACUUUUUUGUAACAUGGCAUUGGCUCUUGUCUAUACUGUGUAUAAUUUUCCCUUUUCUGUUGGCUGUGGGCCAUUAUUAUUUAAUGCGAUCAGACCAAGUGAGAUUUAUUUACCAAAGAUCAUGUUUGACAAAAGGGAGAUAAUACAUUUUUAUAUCAAGUGACCGGUACCCAAAUGUAUGAUUGUUUGUUUAGUUUUUUUCUCUCAGAGCUUGCUCUUUUGUUACUUUCACACUUCACAUCCCAUCAGAGAGUCAAUACCAACCACAUUCACAGAACAGCAGAAAAACAUCACAGCUGUUCCCACAUACACCACUACAUGAGACAGCUUUUUAUCUCUAGUGCUUUUAAACAGUGUAGGAACAUAUCACCACGUCUGAGUUAGCGAGCAAACGAUUUGGUGUAUUUGUGGGUCUAGUGUCAGAAUGUGUAGGAGGCCGUGUGAGCGCGUGUGCGUGCUGGACCUUAGGGACUUUGUAAGUACUUACCAGCUCACUGCAGACUGCCUGAUCUGUUGAGAAGCAGUGCAGUGGUUUGAUGGUGCUGCAGAGUGACACAUGACUACACAGACCCCGAACAGACAUUAGCACAGGCUUCAGCAAACCUACAUCUGAGCCUCAAAUCAUUCAUUAAAUCAAAACAUCAAAAGGAACUUUACUUGAAUGCCUCAACAUUAAUUUUUUAUUAUUACUGAGAAUAAAUCUUUUGUCAUUUUUCUCACCA